UACGAACUGUGCGAACGUUAUUCGGAAUCACUGGGCUUAAAGGGUGCGUAGGCGGUUACCUAAGUCAGGUGUGAAAUCUCUCGGCUCAACCGGGAAACUGCGCUUGAAACUGGGUGACUGGAGUGAUGCAGGGGUGUGUGGAACUUCCGGUGGAGCGGUGAAAUGUGUAGAUAUCGGAAGGAACGCCAGCAGCGAAAGCGGCACACUGG
rnacentral:rRNA from 1 species